CCAGGAAGAGAAGUGAGUAAGUCGGCUGCAAUAUUUAACAGUGCCUCCGGCCCCGCCGCCCGCAGACUCGCCUCGACGGGAGCCAGAGCUGUCGGAUGGAAACACAGCUGGCUGGAGCCAGGGGAAGCUGACGUGCACUGGCUGCUUGGCUCUGAGAACUGAAUUCCAUAGGCGUUAAAGCCUCCAAAAUGCCCUAUGGAUUCAGUUCUGCAGCUGGGCAGUAACUGGGCCUCAAACCUUCAGGAAGAGAAGGCAACUGUGAACUCUUCCUACAACUAGUAUGUAAAUCUUUGCUCCUGCACAGAGACCAGAUUAGGGAUGGAGGGGAGCUAUGGCCACCAUAAAAACAUCUGCUGUCAGAGAGCUACUAGACGUUUGUGGCACAUCUACCCCCAAGGGAAAAAAAAGCCUAACUAUAGAAUGUUUUCUUCCCUCUGGAAGUGAAAUGGCACUUGAGAAAAUAAAUACAUUGCUACCUCCUGAUGUAUUGCAUGCAAUUGUGAGCCUCUGCUAAAAAUACACAUUGUCAGAACAACAGCCUGGGUGUGCCCAGCAAUCUCCUGUUCAGAAUCCAGGCAGUAAAACCAAACAAAACUCGGGAGAAGAUAAACAGGACAGGAUGGGUAAAAUUAAGGGUUAUGCCCUUCUGUCUCCCUGUGGGCCCUAGAGAUGACCCCAACAAAGACACUUAUUUAGAGAAAGUAUUUGUGUACACUACAGGCUCUGUUUUCACUCAUCCAUCACAUACCUCUGGGAGAGCCUGGCUGUGCCCAUUGAGUUUUGGGGACCUUUCCAUUAUCACAUGGUAUCAUGCUGCCACCAAGAACCUAAUGGCUGGAGGAAUGGCAUUUAGGAUAAAUUAUUGUGCAAGUCUUUGCAGUUUAGGUAGCAUUUCCACAUCACUGUAUGGCAAACCACAUGCUCCUUCUCACCUUGCCUAGAAGAGCUGGUUUGCACCUCUUCCAGGAUCUAACCUAAAGCAGCCCCUGCCCAUGGCAGGCAGCAUCCAGGUCUGGCAGCUCAGCUGUGCCCCUCAAGAGCUCCAGGGGACAGGGAAGAAAGUCCUUCCCACACCCCACUGAGGUACUACACCAUUGCACAAGCAUCCAAUGCAUGAACUUUGGGUUCAUUGCCCAAAGGAGCUGCUGCUGGAAGGACAGGGAGUGCGCCACCAAUGCAAGGCUGACGCAGACAUUUAACCACACAUCCCUAACUGGGCAGGGCAGCCUGCUCAGCCAAGGAAGAGAUUAAAAAAAAAAAAAACCUCAACAAAUGAACAACCAACCCAGCAGGAACUGCUGCCUUUCAGCAUAACUGAUCAGCCAGCAGACAUUAAUGGAGGCCUUUUCUAGCCCAUUCAGCAAGUCCCACUGCCACUGUUUGCAACACAGCCAAGGAGCAUCAGUUUGGUCCAAGGUUUCUACAGCAGUUUUUCUGGUUCAGCCCUCUUGCAGCUUUGUCUGGCAGCAGAGUUGACACAUUUCCAAGAAGCCAAAUGGGGAAGGGGAAAUGCAGACAGUUGCCAAGACAUUUUGGCAAUUGGUAAAACAAAACCUGUUGCACUAACUAAAAAAAAAAAAAAAAAA